rnacentral:rRNA from 1 species
CUACGUGCCAGCAGCCGCGGUAAUACGUAGGUGGCAAGCGUUGUCCGGAAUUAUUGGGCGUAAAGCGCGCGCAGGCGGAUUGGUCAGUCUGUCUUAAAAGUUCGGGGCUUAACCCCGUGAUGGGAUGGAAACUGCCAAUCUAGAGUAUCGGAGAGGAAAGUGGAAUUCCUAGUGUAGCGGUGAAAUGCGUAGAUAUUAGGAAGAACACCAGUGGCGAAGGCGACUUUCUGGACGAAAACUGACGCUGAGGCGCGAAAGCCAGGGGAGCGAACGGGAUUAGAUACCCCGGUAGCCCUGGCCGUAAACGAUGGGUACUAGGUGUAGGAGGUAUCGACCCCUUCUGUGCCGGAGUUAACGCAAUAAGUACCCCGCCUGGGGAGUACGACCGCAAGGUUGAAACUCAAAGGAAUUGACGGGGGCCCGCACAAGCGGUGGAGUAUGUGGUUUAAUUCGACGCAACGCGAAGAACCUUACCAGGUCUUGACAUUGAUGGACAGAACUAGAGAUAG